rnacentral:rRNA from 1 species
AGAUUGAACGCUGGCGGCGUGCCUAACACAUGCAAGUCGAGCGGUAACAGGUGUAGCAAUACAUGCUGACGAGCGGCGAACGGGUGAGUAAUGCUUUGGAAUCUUCCCAGUAGUGGGGAAUAACCAGUCGAAAGAUUGGCUAAUACCGCAUACGUCUGUAAAGGGAAAGCGGGGCUCGUAAGACCUCGCGCUAUUGGAUGAGCCAAAGUCGGAUUAGCUAGUUGGUGGGGUAAUGGCCUACCAAGGCGACAAUCCGUAGC